rnacentral:rRNA from 1 species
UGCCUACGGGACGCAGCAGUGGGGAGUAUUGCACAAUGGGGGAAACCCUGAUGCAGCGACGCCGCGUGAGUGAAGAAGUAUUUCGGUAUGUAAAGCUCUAUCAGCAGGGAAGAAAAUGACGGUACCUGACUAAGAAGCCCCGGCUAACUACGUGCCAGCAGCCGCGGUAAUACGUAGGGGGCAAGCGUUAUCCGGAUUUACUGGGUGUAAAGGGAGCGUAGACGGCAGAGCAAGUCUGAAGUGACAGCCCGCGGCC